rnacentral:rRNA from 1 species
UAAUACGUAGGGUGCGAGCGUUAAUCGGAAUUACUGGGCGUAAAGAGUGCGUAGGCGGUUCUUUGUGUCCGCUGUGAAAGCCCCGGGCUUAACCUGGGAAUGGCAGUGGAAACUAGAGAACUUGAAUCUGGCAGAGGGGGGUGGAAUGCCACGUGUAGCAGUGAAAUGCGUAGAUAUGUGGCGGAACACCGAUGGCGAAGGCAGCCCCCUGGGCUGAGAUUGACGCUCAGGCACGAAAGCGUGGGGAGCAAACAGGAUUAGAUACCCUGGUAGUCCACGCCCUAAACGAUGUCAACUAGGUGUUGGGGAAGCGAUUUCCUAGUACCGCAGCUAACGCGUGAAGUUGACCGCCUGGGGAGUACGGUCGCAAGAUUA